AUGCAAGUCGAGCGAGAAAGGGGCUUCGGUCCUGAGUAAAGCGGCGGACGGGUGCGUAACACGUGGAUAAUCUGCCCUCUGGCGGGGGACAACAGUUCGAAAGGACUGCUAAUACCGCAUGAGUCGGUGAGGUUUACGGACCUUGCCGGCAAAGGUGGCGCCCGAAAGGAGCUACCACCAGAGGAUGAGUCCGCGGCCCAUCAGCUAGUUGGCGGGGUAAAGGCCCACCAAGGCGAAGACGGGUAGCUGGUCUGAGAGGAUGAUCAGCCACACUGGGACUGAGACACGGCCCAGACUCCUACGGGAGGCAGCAGUGGGGAAUAUUGGGCAAUGGGCGCAAGCCUGACCCAGCCAUGCCGCGUGAGUGAUGAAGGCCUUCGGGUCGUAAAGCUCUGUGGGGAGGGACGAACGUCCAGCCGGAUAAUACCCGGUUGGGGUGACGGUACUUCCUUAGCAAGCACCGGCUAACUCCGUGCCAGCAGCCGCGGUAAUACGGAGGGUGCAAACGUUGCUC
rnacentral:rRNA from 1 species